rnacentral:misc_RNA from 1 species
CAACUUUUCAGCGGCAUGACAAUUUCUUCGUUUCUUGAAAACUCCUAUGAAAGAUUUGUGUCAUUAAAAAGAAAAGAAAAAGGAAAUAUAGAUGAAAGAAAAUAUAUACGUGGCAAAUACUUAUUUCUUUAGAAUAAAAGAGAAUAUAUAUGACCUCAAUGCUUCAAUGUGUGUUAAUGUGAGACUAUGUAUUAGCAUUAAACAACAUUUAGUAUUAAGUAAUUUACAUCAAGAUAAAGACAGAAUUUUUAUCUCUAGAAGCCUCUUCCUCUUAGCCUCUUGGAAAAGCUGAGCGUCAUCUUCGGUGGUUUUUCCUUAUCUUUCAGGAUAAGGGAAGGCUUGCCUCCGACUAGGUUUUUUAGGGUCCCUCUCUUUUCUUGGUUGGUUUGUAUAGUUUUGUUUUGUGUUUCGUUUUGCACAUCUGGGUUCUGACUGGUGAGGAUGGUUUGAAAGAGGAUCUGCUUUGAGGAAGAGGUGGUUUGAUUUGUUGUGUGGUUCCUGCUUCCUCGGUUUCGUUUCCCCUAUUUGGUGUUUGGCUUGUUGCUUUUGGAGAAGUUGUGGAAAGGUUGGUGAUUUGUAGAUCUAGCGUUUACAUGAGAUAGUUGGCGUCCAUGGUUAUAGGAGACUACGAUGUCAUGGCCCUGCCUUUCUUUCUCCUAAAGCGAUAGUGGUGAGUCCUGUGAGUUUAUCUUGAAGAGUUGAUCUGUCUUUGCUUUGGUUGUGGAGUAUCUUCUUCCUAGCUUUGGCUAGUUUAGUUAUGACUGCUAGUUUUUGGAGGAUGGUCUCUACUGAUUUGGCUCUGGUGGGUUACUCUUGCUCGGUUCUACUGGACGAUAGUACCGUGAGAGUUUUCGGAUUGCUGAGCCUAGUUUGCUGUCAAGAAUUGGGCUUGUUGUGGGGCCCCUACAUUGGGUAGGGUUGUGUUCUGAGUAAGGCCUUGUUGAAUGUAAUUUGCUCUUUUUGAGUUCCAAUGUAAUGAAAUGUGCAAUUAAAAAAAAAAGAAGCAUUUAGUGUUAGAAAAGAAAAGCAUAUCAUAUUUAUUUGAUAUUUCUCAUAUUAUUAUUAGAUAUUUUAUGAAAUAUUUAUAAAAAUGUCCGAACUUAAAUUUAAUUUAUUUUUUUGAAUUUUCGUUUGCCGGGUGAAUGGAUUACUAAGAAGACUGCUGGAUCUACCAAGAAGGCAAUAAUGGACGAGACUCAAAACCAAAGAAUCUUGGAGUGAAGAAAUUUGGUGGGCAGGUAAUUUUUUUGGCGAUGAAAAUCGCUUGCGUUUGUUAUGCUAGACGCACAGGCUUAGCGGCCACAAGUGGGUGCAUGUUGAACCCAAGGAUAGAUAUAAACUUCACCCAGUCUAUGAAAAAGCAAGUGCUGCCUCAUCUCAGCUCAAGACACGCUCUUGAAUUGUAUUUUUAGAUGCAUCUAUAACUUGGUUUUUCACAUUUGAAUAACUAAAACAGUAAUAUUUGGAAUCAAUCUUCAUAUUACUUCGUACUAAUUCAAUUUUUUUGAGUGAGACUGUUGGAACUGUGUCUUGUUA